rnacentral:tRNA from 1 species
GCACCCGUUGUCCAACGGAUAGGACGCAGCCCUCCGAAGGCUGAGGUCGGGGUUCGAUUCCCUGCGGGUGCG